UUGUCUUGGGCCACACAUAAUAUACAUUGUGACAUGUAACCACAAAAAAGAAUCUCAUAAUGUUUUAAGUAAAUUUACGAUUUUGUGUUGGGACACAUUCACAGUCAUCCUGGGCUGCAUGAGGCCCAUGGCUGCAGGUUGGACUCCCCGGCUAUACAUUUAUAAU